AUUGAACGCUGGCGGCAGGCCUAACACAUGCAAGUCGAACGAGUGGCGGACGGGUGAGUAAUGUCUGGGAAACUGCCUGAUGGCGGGGGAUAACUACUGGAAACGGUAGCUAAUACCGCAUACCAUCAGAUGUGCCCAGAUGGGAUUAGCUUGUUGGUGGGGUAACGGCUCACCAAGGCGACGAUCCCUAGCUGUUCUGAGAGGAUGACCAACCAAACUGGAACGGAGAACCGGUGCAGAAUCGUACGGGAGGCAGCAGUGGAGAAUAUUGCACAAUGGGAGGAAGCAGGAUGCAGCCAGGCCGGGUGUAUGAAGAAGGCCGUCGGGUUGUAAAGUACUUUCAGCGGGGAGGCGUUACCCGCAUAAGAAGCACCGGCUAACUCCGUGACAGCAGCCGCGGUAAUAC
rnacentral:rRNA from 1 species